rnacentral:rRNA from 1 species
AUUGAACGCUGGCGGCAGGCCUAACACAUGCAAGUCGAGCGAGUGGCGGACGGGUGAGUAAUUUAUGGGGAUCUGCCUGAUGGCGGGGGAUAAAUAAUGUAAAAGGUAGCUACUAGCGCAUACCAGCAGCUUAGCCCAUAUGGGAUUAGCUUGUAGGUGUGGUAACGGCACACCUAGGCGACGAUCCCUAGCUGGUCUGAGAGGAUGACCAGCCACACUGGGACGUAGACACGGCCCAGACUCCUACGGGAGGCAGCAGUGGGGAAUAUUGCACAAUGGGCGCAAGCCUGAUGCAGCCAUGCCGCGUGUAUGAAGAAGGCCUUCGGGUUGUAAAGUACUUUCAGUCGGGAGGCGUUACCGACAGAAGAAGCACCGGCUAACUCCGUGCCAGCAGCCGCGGUAAUUC